rnacentral:rRNA from 1 species
UACGUAGGGUGCGAGCGUUAAUCGGAAUUACUGGGCGUAAAGCGUGCGCAGGCGGUUUUGCAAGACAGAUGUGAAAUCCCCGGGCUCAACCUGGGAAUUGCAUUUGUGACUGCACGGCUAGAGUGUGUCAGAGGGGGGUAGAAUUCCACGUGUAGCAGUGAAAUGCGUAGAGAUGUGGAGGAAUACCGAUGGCGAAGGCAGCCCCCCUGGGAUAACACUGACGCUCAUGCACGAAAGCGUGGGGGAGCAAACAGG